rnacentral:lncRNA from 1 species
GUAGUUUUGGUUCUUGAGUGUGUGGUAAAAGGCUGUUUGCAUUUUCCUCAUUCACUCAUUUUUAAACUAUCUAUAUAAAUACAACUUGGGUAUGAUUUUUGCUUAAUGCAGUCUUUGUGCUUUAAGUUACCAGUUUGCUCCUCUUACCUUCUAGUCACCUAAACAAGACUUUUCUCAGAACACAAUGACUGGUUUUAAAUAUUACAAUUUAAAAAUGUAUCUAUUAGAAAACUGUUCUUUAGAGUAAGAUUUAGAAAUACGGUAUUUGUGCCUUUUUCAUUGUUUUUCUUUUAAUGUGUUUUGAUAUUUGGAGCACAAAUAUAAAGGUGCCAUAAGAUGGCUUGCUCAUGUUACCUCCUUAAAUUUUUCUAUGUUACUAUCUUCAAAUAAUAAUUGGAGAACCUUGAACGAAAUGUGGUUCUUUAUGUGAGAUAUGUAUGUGUUUGUAUUUUCUUAAGCUGUGUGAAAUAUGUUUAAGAGUGAAUUUAUGAAAAUAGAACUUGGUUAAAUAUGCGUGUGCUUUAUUUAAAAAGACAGUAGAUUGCCAGAAGACAGUGUAAUCCUCAAAAAUGUGACCAGCAUUCUACAUUAUAAAAUAGGAAAAUAGUGCUAUUUUACAUUAUCAAGAAUAAUUAAAUUUUAAAAAUAGUUGCUUUAAAUAUUUUAAAGUGUCAUGAACAUUAUUAUUUUAUUUUUUAACUCGAUCGAAUUGAGAGUUUAAAUUUUCAGAAAUAUUAAUUUGUUCAUUUAAAGCUUUAUUCAUGAAUUUUAAGUUGUUAUGUGAAAUUAUAGAUAAGGGCCUCAAGUAUGGCUCAGUGAUAGAUAGUGUGUUUAUGAAUAUUUGUGAUCCAUGUGUUGGAUCCAUAGCAAUACCAACAAACAAAAAGAUGGGAUCGUAGAUAUGAUUCAUUUAGAAAACAGAAGCAAAGACUUGGGUAAGUUUUAUGAAAAUCUAACGCAGCAGUUUUACUACAAGUCACAUGUUCAUGAAGAGGUGAAGUAAUCUCUUUUGGUCAUGUCUGGUCUUUGAUGGUUACAAUGGAAAUAUUUGUUGUGUUCUUUAGAGAGGUGAGUGGAUGAGUGAGUGGGUUUCAGUGUUCCCAGAAAAUAAAUACAGCACUUUCAGCACGUAUGAGAGUAUUUUACAAAGCUUUUUAUGUAGAGAAUGUGAGCUCCAACUUAAGUGUUCAUGGAAUGAUGUAAGUGUUGGCUAUGUCAAUCUGAAAUAAUACUGAGUGCCUCCAAUGUAAGACUUCUUUACUAGGAAUGAAAUCAUACUGUAUCUUCUGUUGUUGUAUGUAAGUUUAUAUCUGAGAAGUAAUACUUAUUUUUAAAUAUUUUGUUAGUAAAGCUUAUUAUAUACUGUAAUCUAACUAGUAAUUUAGCAUUGCUUACAAAUGAAUUGAGCCCACUUUUUUGAAAAUAAAGUUCUGCUAAAAUUAUUUAAGUUCAGAAGGAAGUUGACUUUUAAAACUCAGACCUUUAACAUUUAAUCUUUCUGGCCUUUAUUUAAUCCAUUUGAUGUUUUAUGAUGAGAUACACACUAUUUGUGUUAUUGUUGGAAAUAGAUUGUGUGUUUCAGCACGUUGAGUUAAAAUAAAAUUGUUACUACUUAUUUAGAAUUAA